UACGAAGGGGGCUAGCGUUGUUCGGAGUUACUGGGCGUAAAGGGCGCGUAGGCGGCUGGUCAAGUCGGGGGUGAAAGCCCGGGGCUCAACCCCGGAAAUGCACUCGAGACUGAUCGGCUUGAGGACGGGAGAGGAUAGUGGAAUUCCCAGUGUAGAGGUGAAAUUCGUAGAUAUUGGGAAGAACACCGGUGGCGAAGGCGGCCUGCUGGGGUCUUGGCUGACGCUGAAGCGCGACAGCGUGGGGAGCAAACAGG
rnacentral:rRNA from 1 species